UUGAGAACUAGGCCUAGAGACAGGAGGUCCUAAGUUCAAAUCUGGACUCAGAUACUUCCCAGCUGUGUGACCCUGGGCAAGUCACUUAACCCCCAUUGCCUAGCCCUUACCACUCUUCUGCUUUGAAACCAAUACACAGUGUUGAUUCCAAGAUGGAAGGUAAGGGUUUUAAAAAGAAAAAAAAAAGAACCAAGUUAUUACUUAGCUAUGUGGCCCUGUGCAAUUCACUUACCCCAAUUGUCAAGCCCUUUGCCAAUUAGAAUUAAUACUAAGACAGAAGGUAAGGAUUUGAAAAAAAUAAUCAAGGCAUUAAAAUCUAAAAAAAUCAGUGAUUCAUUUCCACACACACACACACAAAAAAGGUCAUAGAGCAUAGAAAUACAUUUUUGAGAAUGUUAUUAUAGAACACUGACUUAAAAAUAUUAAUCUUAUAGGAGAAGUGAAAUACCAAUGAAGGCAGAGGAGAAAUAUUGAUGAGGUCAAAACAACAAUCCCUUCUCACGAGGAGCUCACAUGCUAGAGUUUCUCAAACACCAAGUUAGGUCUGGCAAUGCAUGUUUCAAUGUCAUCAUCUAUGUGGACAUCUCUGGAAAGGACACUGCUAUGGCAAAAAUUAGUAAAAGAGUGGAGAAUGGAUCCAUACCCUGAUGCAUCUCGCUCUCAGAGACUAUAGUAAGUGCACAAUCAUCUGCAAAUAGAAAAUUAUGUGCCAAUUCUCCCUCCACUUUAGUCUCAGUUUAUAAUCUUUUCAAGUUAAAUAAUUUACCAUCAAUGUAGUAACUGACCUUAAUGCUGUUUUCAUCCUCAUUCACACCCACAAUACCCAGAAAUGCACAUAAAAUUUUUUGGGCCUCCCUUUGUGCCAGAGAAAAAGUCUGAAUUUUUUUCUUUUUUCUUUUAUGGGAUGUUUAUAGUACCUAAUUGUAAAUUUUGGGUUAAGUAUGUAUUGCUGUUUCUAAACUUUGUCUGUGUCAUAGGCUGGCUUUUGCAUGUUGUCCAUGACUUCUGCAAAAUUCCCAUUUAAUUUCUUAUGCCAAACUGUGAUCUAUCAAAAUCAAAAUAGAGAAAGUCAGAGUGUGGAAGGGAUCACUGUAGUUGUUAUGCACCGUAGGUCUUUAUAUUAUAAAUAGCU